GCGAGCUGCGCCAGGAAGGCGCGGCCCUUCGCUGGGUCCGUCAUGUGGAUGAAGGCGGCCAUGCCCUGGAGCUGCUCCAGGGACUCGCCC
rnacentral:tRNA from 1 species